rnacentral:rRNA from 1 species
UACGUAGGCAGCAAGCGUUGUUCGGAAUUACUGGGCGUAAAGAGUGUGUAGGCGGUGCUCCAAGUCUGGUGUGAAAUCUCCCGGCUUAACUGGGAGGGUGCAUUAGAACUGGAAUGCUAGAGGAUGGAGAGGUAAGCGGAAUUCCUGGUGUAGCGGUGAAAUGCGUAGAUAUCAGGAGGAACACCUGUGGUGUAGACAGCUUACUGGACCAUUCUGACGCUGAGACACGAAAGCGUGGGUAGCAAACAGG